AGAUUGAACGCUGGCGGCAUGCCUUACACAUGCAAGUCGAACGGCAGCACGGGAGCAAUCCUGGUGGCGAGUGGCGAACGGGUGAGUAAUACAUCGGAACGUGCCCAAUCGUGGGGGAUAACGCAGCGAAAGCUGUGCUAAUACCGCAUAAGAUCUACGGAUGAAAGCAGGGGAUCGCAAGACCUUGCGCGAAUGGAGCGGCCGAUGGCAGAUUAGGUAGUUGGUGAGGUAAAGGCUCACAAGCCUUCGAUCUGUAGCUGGUCUGAGAGGACGACCAGCCA
rnacentral:rRNA from 1 species